AGCUGAGUGAAGCCUGAUGGGGUCUGGAGCAAGCCAGAGAGAAAUUACAGGUAAGGAUGAACUACAGCUACACCAAUGAAUUCGAUGGAAAAAAAAAAUCUGAGAACAUAUUUUUUUUUUAGUUUGAGUUUGUGAUUUAUUUAGAUCAUAUUCUCGGACUUUUACAAUUGAACAGUUAUUUUAUGUAUGAGCUUUAGGGUAAACAUUGUCAUAACUAGGGCUAAUUUAGCCCAUGCUAGUUUAGACCAUGUCCAUUACAUACAGAUUAUAGUAACCGGGUAAAUAAACAAAAUAUAAAGUAAGAAUUAUUUUGUUUUGGCUGACAUUUAUCAUCAGUAUAGAUGUUUGGUAUAAUUUGACCCCUUUGAUAAAACUGUUGAUGAUUACCUUCUCUAUCAUUGUACAAACACUACAAUCAUCAUUGUUCAAAGGUAUUAUCAGUACAUCUGUGUUGAUGUUUUACAGUGGCAUGUACCGUCCUUUCCAAGAAGGCGAAAGUAUUAAGAAACCUCAUUGAUCGAUGUAAAUGAUGAUCGUCACUGCUUAUAGGAUGUAAACACAAACCUAACGCUCUUAAGAAAUUAGCACAAUCCAAUUUGAAUUGUGCCGUUGCUCUUCAUACACAAUCACCACAAUCACACGCACACACAAACACACACAGUUGGAUGUCCUCCAACCAGUAGGUAACUCACAUGACGUGUAGGUCAGUCACAGGCCAAUGACAGAACUCAGGUACUUCUUUUGGCCAAGUCUGUGCGCACACACUGGGAAUUAGAUGCUGGUUCUUACAUCAUUCUCAGUGUAGGGACACAAGACAGAACAACAUCCAGCUGAUUUAUCAGGGUGUCAGGUUUAUUGAAAAGGCAUUAAAGUAAAAGCUUAAAUGAAAAUCUUUUGGGCCAUACACUGUUGAGCUUUCAGGUGAUUAUUUUAAUCUUACUGGGUUAUUUUCUGAUGACCCUGAAUCGAAAACUCUUAAAUUCAACAUUUGGCCUAUUUUACAACACUUUUUCUGUAAAGAGAUCUUCUCAGGGGGCACAGGCAGAAAAGGUCUGGUCACCUUUGGUCUUGAGCCAAGCAGCGCCUUGGCUGAGGACCUUAGGUCAGGACUAGUAUGGAGUGAGGAGAUCAGAAAUGUUGGGGUUCACAUCCACUGUAGGCCUUUAAAGUUGAUAAUAAAGUCUUUGGGCCAAUCAUUUUCAGUGAAGAGAAGCUGAUAAGUUCUAAUAAGGAGUCUGGCUGCUGCAUUUAGAAUGAGCUGUUAGUUGUGCUCUUUUGGUUGAGACAUUUGUACAGAGUUACAGAAGUCCAAAAUGAGGAAAUAAAAGCACAGAUCAUGCAAUGCCCGAGAGGUAACAAGCAGAGGGAGAAGUGGUCUGUGGGCUGACCCCAGGAGGACUCUGCAAGUCAGCUUCACACUGAUGACUGUGAGCUGCCCAUAGUCAAAAGAUCGAACUUACAAAUAGGAGGAGAGUUAGUUAGGACUACCCAGUGAUUGAGAGAAUCUGAGGCAGCACUCAGAUCUCAGUAAAGUUUGGAUAUGUUGUAGUUCUAGUUGUGUUGAGUCGCUUGGUUGCCUUUUGGUUGAUUUUGUGCUACAGUAUUCAAUCGUGUUUUUUGUACUUGUGUGUUUAAUGUUGGUUUAUGUUCAUUUUCUUUUUUGUGUUCAGGUGAUUGAUGUUGGUGUUUGUAUUUGCAGAAAUGAUUUUAAAGCUGUCAGUCUUUCUGAUGUCACAUUGCCCCCCCUGUGGACAAAGCUGUACCUAUUUGCUGAUUAUGUCUUGUAUGUGUCCUGUAUUUUUCUACCACACAGUAACAGUGAGUCCACCACCUUCACCUCCCAGUCCUGAGCCACAGCCUGCCUUCAUCUCUCGACCUCCACCCACCAUCCUCAUCACUGCUCCAUCACAAGACGACCUCUACGCCUCAUCGCCCACAGUGACUAUAGCUGAAGCUGUCAAAGAGAGGCGGCCUCUGUCCACACCAUUCAUGGUGGGAAAUAAACUAGUGACCGGGAAGUGACUAAACACAGC